rnacentral:lncRNA from 1 species
GGGUUGUGGUGAAAUAUUAAAACUUGCAAAGAAACUCAAACCUAUUACUGUUGAGGUGGUGGUCAUCGUGGACUGUGUGUGGGUGUGUAUGUGUGUGUGCAUGUGUAUUUGCCUGUGUGCAUUAAUAAACAAAGGUGAGGUAUAGUGCUGUGUGCAAAAAGCUAAAAAUAACAAGGGUGGUCUUUAGACAAAAUGGAAAAAUUACAGCAUCAGGGUAAACAUAUUUAGGAUUUUGGCCAGCAUUCAAAAAAAGAGACAGAAAAGGAAAAACUAAUUACUUCCAAUGUGGCCUUUCUACCUUUUACAAAGCAAUUUACUAAAAAGGAAAAUACAAGUGGUUUGCAAUAUAUAAUAAUGAAGAAUGAUUCACUUAAGUGUACCUAAUAGUUUAGACUCCUGCUUACCUGACUACUAUGGAAAACUGUGCUGAUUUUAAGGCAUGGGGUUUGCUAUUUUAUGAUAUGCAUUGGGGAUAUUAUUCUUCUUCUACUUAAGUAAUUUGUGGCUAUAAAAGUAUUCCUUAAAGAAAAUAAUAAAUUUGCUAUAAUAAGUAUACCAGGUCACACAAUUACUUCUAGCUUAUAUUUUUGUUACUACUAGAAAGUACAAAAAUUUGAGGAGAUAAGCAGGCAUUAUUCUAGUAGUGUUUCUUGUUUGUUUGUUUCUGAUUAUUAGGAGUUAGGGAGGCAUCAUAAUAGCAGUGAGGCUUUUGUUUGUGGAAGCAUUGGAUAUUAAGAAAUUAAGGAGGUCUUUGGACAAAUACGGGGAAGCAAGCUAGAUAAUGGCCAAAAACCAUAAGUAGACAAACCUGAGGUAAAAGCUCCGAAGGCAAUAUGAAUAUAGACAGCAAGGCUAAGUUGAGGGCUGAUAGAAAUGAGAACUUGGUCAGAGACUGGGUUAGGGGCUACUCUUGUUAUUCCUGGCAACACCUGUGGGUGACAUCUGACAAUGGCCUGUGACUUUGUUGGAGGCUGUGUUUAGUGGUGACAGGCUGAUUUAGAAGAUAGAGUACACUUCUAGGUCUGCAGCAUAAAGUCAGGCUGGAGAACAAUUAUCAUUGCUGCUUUUAGCCAAAUUUAUAGCGAGAAUAUGAAACAAGGAGGAGUGAGGAAGGAUUUGCAAAAUACACUGUGUGGUCAGAAAGAGUUUAUGUAAAUACAUGGCCAAGAACCUGAUGUAAUUACUGCCCAUAAAAGCACACUUUUCACUGACAUGUAGCUUGGAGGUACUUCAGUAAUUAUCAGUGUGACAUCACUCAUAGUCUCCAAGAUCAAAGAAUGUACAUUUUUUUCUUUUCUUGUUUAAAGAUUUUUUUUAUUUUAUGCAUGUGAGUACACUGCCACUGUACUCACCACAGACACACCAGAAGAGGGCAUUGAAUCCCAUUACAGAUGGUUGUGGUUGCUGGGAUUUGAAUUCAGGUCCUCUGGAAGAAUAAUCGGUGCUCUUACCCACUGAGCCAGCUCACUGUAGAGCGCUAAGGUCAAAAGCCUAGAGAAUGCUUAGUCAGUAGAAUGUCCAGCAGAAACCAGUUUCCCAUUCAGGGAACGUUUUUCAAGUUCUCGUAAAGGAGGCACUCAUUGGUCACACCUGGCUCCUGGUUCCAUGUUCAUAGAAUGGGGACUACUUUAGCCUGGCCUUGACCUGUAUCCCACAUAUCUGCAGACGCCUUGGGGAACCUUAGAUAUUUUCAACCCCAGUGACAUCAUUAAUAAACUUUUCUUUCUGGUACUCAGUCUGCUCAGAACUAUCCCUAGUGUAACAUAUUCAUAGCCCACUGUGUAACUGGAAGUGCCUUACGGUAUAAGUUUACCUUAUGUUGGCAGUGAUUGAGUUGUUUUAAAAUAGAGCUUAGGAUAUGGAGUUUCAAAAAUGAGAAUAUUUUCAAAGGUGAGUACGAGCCACACUGUGAUAGCAUGAGGGUGUGUGCAUCUAUCACCUCAUAGCAGCUGGAUACCAGUCUAGAACACAAACCACUCAAAUCCUUUCAAUAGGAAACUCAUUAUAGGAUGGAUAUGUAUCAAAGAGUUCGGGAUUUCUAACCUUUAAUUCCCUCAGCCACAGAGGAAUAGAGUAUUACUCUUCUAACAUGCAGUAUGGUAGAGGGGGAUAGCAUCAGGUUAUGUAUGAGAUAGGAUGUGAAGAACAUUAUCAUAUAAUGACACAAAUUGUAACCAUGAGUCCUGCUUAUGGGCCCAUAGUUUUUUCUAGGGCCAUUGCAUUGUGCACGUAUGACUAGUGGUUCCUAAUGUGCUGUAUGUCUCGCUACCUCAGUGUCUGAUUUACUUUAAGGUAUUAGAAAGCAUCUAGAAUAUGGAUCAGUAGAGUACUGGCAAAUGUUGAAUACAUACUGAGGCUUACCUUAGAUUACCUCACAGUCAGAUCUUUGGAUUCAGAAAAUAACACCAUUAAGAAAUCAAAAACAAACAUUAAGAUAUUGGUUGUUCAAAAUUUAAAUUUAAACAAAAACUGUUAGUAAAAUUUGAAGUAACCUAGUCCGACCUGAUAACCCAACAAGGUAAAGUCACAGAAGAUGAAGAAAAAAUUAAAACCAACCUAUGAG